rnacentral:rRNA from 1 species
UACGGAGGAUGCAAGCGUUAUCCGGAUUUAUUGGGUUUAAAGGGUGCGCAGGUUGUUUGAUAAGUCAGUGGUGAAAGUCUGUCGCUUAACGGUAGGAUUGCCAUUGAUACUGUUAGACUUGAAUAUGGAUGAGGUAGGCGGAAUCUGUAGUGUAGCGGUGAAAUGCAUAGAUAUUACACAGAACACCGAUUGCGAAGGCAGCUUACUAAUCCAUCAUUGACGCUGAGGCACGAAAGCGUGGGGAGUCAAACAGGA